CCUGGGGUCAGCACACCCUGCACGCUGCUCCUGCCCGCUCCUGCCACCCUUCUUGUUCCUGCCCGCGGAUACCCCCAUCAUCAGGUUCCAUAGCUGCUGAAGGCCUGGAUUGUGUCAUCCAUCCCUGCAGGAUGUUCACAUUUGUCCUGAGGAAGGCUGUCGCAGACAGAGAGGAAGAGAUGGAGGUGGACACACAGACUGAUAUGGAGGAGGAGAUGGAUGUGGAUGGAGUACAGACUGGAGAGGAAGAGAUGGAAGUGGAUGUGGAAGAGGGGACGGAUGUGGAAAUGGAAGAGUACGCUGAGGACAUGGAAAUUGAUCAAGAAGAUGAAGAGGAGGCCAUGGUCCUGGGAUGAAGAUCGAUGCCAGCAGCGACAGGUACAUGGUCCCCACAGGCAGAGUGGGUUCCCUGCAGCCAGGCUGGGGCUGGGCUGGGUGGUCCCUGCUCCGGCCACACAAGCCCCAUCCCAGUGCCUGGGGCCCAGCCCCCAGACCCAGCCAGCCUCAGCUCUGGCAGCAGGGUCCCACUGUGCCGGCCUGGGGACACACGGAAGAGCCCUCUGUGCCUGACUGGAGUGACCAUGGCACCUGCUUUUCUUCCAGGACUGAUGGAGAUCCCGCACAGAGAUGGAACCAUUUUGUACAUAGUUUUUCGAGUUUGUUGUUCGCUUUAGGAUAUAGGUUUUAGUGCUACGUUUGGUCUUCUGUAAAUACGUUUCAAAUAUUGUUGUUAGAUAUGUUCUUAUGUAUAUACGUUCAAUAAAUUGUUGUUGUUACAAAUAUUCUUACAAAAGUCAAUGUGUUCUGUGUUUUCGUUGCUGUUCUUCUGUAAAUAAACAACCCUGAUUUUUCACA